rnacentral:rRNA from 1 species
UACCAGCUCUCCGAGUGGUAGGGAUGAUUGUUGGGCUUAAAGCGUCCGUAGCCGGCUUAGCAAGUCUCCUGUUAAAUUCAGCGACCUAAUCGUUGAGCCGCGGGAGAUACUACUAGGCUAGGAGGCGGGAGAGGUCAACGGUACUUCCGGGGUAGGGGUGAAAUCCUAUAAUCCCGGGAGGACCACCAGUGGCGAAGGCUGUUGACUAGAACGCGCUCGACGGUGAGGGACGAAAGCUGGGGGAGCGAACCGGAUUAGAUACCCGGGUAGUCCCAGCUGUAAACGAUGCGAGCUAGGUGUUGGGGUGGCUACGUGCCACUUCAGUGCCGCAGGGAAGCCAUUAAGCUCGCCGCCUGGGGAGUACGGCCGCAAGGCUAGAAACUUAAAGGAAUUGGCGGGGGAGCACCACAAGGCGUGAAGCUUGCGGUUC